rnacentral:rRNA from 1 species
GACGAACGCUGGCGGCGUGCUUAACACAUGCAAGUCGAACGGAAAGGCCCUGCUUUUGUGGGGUGCUCGAGUGGCGAACGGGUGAGUAACACGUGAGUAACCUGCCCUUGACUUUGGGAUAACUUCAGGAAACUGGGGCUCAUACCGGAUAGGAGCUCCUGCUGCAUGGUGGGGGUUGGAAAGUUUCGGCGGUUGGGGAUGGACUCGCGGCUUAUCAGCUUGUUGGUGGGGUAGUGGCUUACCAAGGCUUUGACGGGUAGCCGGCCUGAGAGGGUGACCGGCCACAUUGGGACUGAGAUACGGCCCAGACUCCUACGGGAGGCAGCAGUGGAGAAUAUUACACAAUGGGCGGAAGCCUGAUGCAGCAGCGCCGCGUGCGGGAUGACGGGCUUCGGGUUGUAAACCGCUGUCGCCUGUGACGAAGCGUGAGUGACGGUAAUGGGUAAAGAAGCACCGGCUAACUACGUG